GCCUAUUAAUGUUGCUUCCUAUCCGUUACAGAGAGAGAUUCCCUCAUUAAUAUUUGUGGUCUUUCUGGUUCGGUAAUACAGUGAGUAUCACCAUCAUGGCCGAUCCCUCUAAUUUGCUAUGCCUCUCCUUUCUCUUCUCUUUUCCUUUUAUCUUUGGGCACCCUCCUCACCCUUUUGACAAUCUUGCCCAUAUUAAUAAUUAUAUGUGUUCUAUAUUUUCCACCAAAAGGAUCAAUAAGGUUAUUUUAUUAGGUCAUGCAUUGGAAUUAAAAGUGGGUGCCCCAAAGUGCAAUGGAAUUUAUUCUAAGAAGAAAAUAGAUGGAGGGAGGAAUAAUGGAUUUAAAUGCAAUGGCCCAGCUUUCUGCUUCGGUAGUCGCGGUUUUAAAUGCUUAUGAAGACCCUCUUCCCUUCUUAAAUCCUACCCAGACAUUCUCAUCUCUCCUCACAUCUCCUACCUCCUUAACUAGCUAUAUGCUCCUUCUCUUCCUUCAAGAAAACCAACCUUUCUUUCACUCUCUCUCUUAUUUCUUUUUUGUUUGUUUCUUGAUUUUGAAUUACAGCUUGUAUAUUCUUCUUCUUCUUCUUCUUCUUCUUGUGGUUCUCAAAGAAUUAGUAUAUAUUGUUUUAUGUAUUCUAAAUAAUUAUUAUGUGAAAUAGUGAUUGUGAUAUUGGCCUGGUUCACUCAGAACAUGUAAAAGAAACCCUAAGUUGAAUUCUUUUUUUCAUUUCUUGGUUGAUUUUUUAUGAUUUGAUUGAGCCGUGCCAAUAUCUCAGUGCUCUUUCAUUUUCCCUCUUACAAGUCUCUCCCAUCGAUCAGAAUUCAGAAGCUAUUAAUAAAUGAUAUGAAGCAGGAACAUAUCCCAAGAAACAAACAGAAAAUCAAAUCAUCAUCUGUUAGGAACUGAGCAACUCUCCAGGAGGGUAUCUGUUAGUGUAUUCCACACAUUUUUGUUUACAUUUACAAUCCAACAAUCUUCUCACGGAUCUGACACCGGCUUCGUUAGAAGUUGGACGUGCAUGUGGAAGGCCAAUAACUUGGCAAACAGCUGUGUGUUUCUAGUGCGUAACGUGUGGGGCUUGAAAGAUGAAAGAGACCAAGCCCAAAGCUAAGAAAGAUGAAAGAGACCAAGCCCAAAGCUAAGAAAGAUGAAAGAGACCAAGCCCAAAGCUAAAGAAAGAUGAAAGAGACCAAGCCCAAAGCUAAGAAAGAUAAAAGAGACCAAGCCCAAAGCUAAGAAAGAUGAAAGAGACCAAGCCCAAAGCUAAGAAAGAUGAAAGAGACCAAGCCCAAAGCUAAGGUAGCAUUUGUAUCCCGAGUUAUGGGUGUAACCAAAUUUGCUUGUUUUUACUGAGUGGGAAAAUAACAAUGGCCCCUAAGUUUUGGCUCAUGUAACACUUCAGGAUUUCGGUUUCUGAAAAUCAACUUAGACAUUUCUAAAUUUUAAUUCUGUUAACAGAGUAGUCCUUCCGUUAGUAAUCAAGCCCUUUAUCUGUCAAAUCGAUAUGAAAGGACAUAGUUGCCCUUGCUUAAAAGAAUAUGUUGUCGUUGGAGGGAAAAAGAAUAUGGAUGGCCUUUUUUCAGACCAGCGGGUUGUUGCAGAGCUCUGUUUGAGAGAUUGAGCAAAUCGUUCAUGGGAGAGCUUCAAACCGUUGUUCAUCAUUGAAAUCUUUGGAAGUUAUAUGAUUUGGAAGAUCGAAAGCACAAGACCAGUUGAAGUUUUUUCGCAAAAAGGAUGAGUUUACCAAAGUAUUUUCAUAUACUAUGCAAGUGUGGAGAAGAAGAGGGAAGUAUUGGAAAUGUGGACCCAGAUAAGUACUCUUAUCUGAUUUUGCUUGAGAAAGUUUAUAAGUUGUUUAGGCUAGAAUGUGAUUUUGUUGAAAUUGUGUGUGGUGUAAAUUUGAAAAUUGAGAAUAAUGAUGAUCUUAUGUUGAUGUUUGAGAUGCAGAAAGAGACUGGUGGAAAAUGAUGAUCUUAUGCUCUUCAAAGACUCAUCAGGUAUAGUAGAUCAUGCAGAAUGUUACCUAGUUCAAAUGAGGAGUUUGAAGUCACAGAAGGACCAUUUAAGUUUUCUGUUAAUUUGAGUUUGAGGAAAUGUAGUUGUGGAUGGUGGGAAAUUUCUGGUUUGCCAUGCCAACAAUAAUAGGAACAGGAGAGGGCAAGUGAAAGGUAGUCAAGGAGCAUCGAGCUCACAAGUGACUCAAGGAACAGAUUGAAAUGCAUGUGUUUUGUGGGGUUUUUCACAGGAACAUGUAAUAGGAACCAGCUGUUAUUUCAUAUAGUUUUUUUGUUAGGCUAAGCUCUUUAGAUGCCAUAAAGACUUAUGGUGUACUUUUUAUCUAAGAUUUUGCUCCCAAAUGAGAAGCUGAUUAACUUAUUUAGUUGUAAUUUUGUGAUCUUUGAGAAUUUGAAUGCUCAAACUCUUUAGUUCAAAUGAUGGAUUUUAAUAUA